UUUCCGGUUGAUCCCGCCGGACCUGACUGCUAUCGGAUUGAUACUAAGCCAUGCGAGUCUUUGUAGUAAUACAAGGCAGACGGCUCAGUAACGCGUAGUCAACCUACCCUAUGGACGGGAAUAAUCUCGGGAAACUGAGCAUAAUACCCGGCGUACCACCAUUCCUGGAAUGGUUGGUGGUUAAAAUGAUUCGUCGCCGUAGGAUGGGACUGCGACCUAUCAGCUUGUUGGUGAGGUAAAGGCCCACCAAGGCGAUUACAGGUACGGGCUCUGAGAGGAGAAGCCCGGAGAUGGGUACUGAGACACGGACCCAGGCCCUAUGGGGCGCAGCAGGCGAGAAAACUUUGCAAUGUGCGAAAGCACGACAAGGUUAAUCCGAGUGAUUUCUGCUAAAGGAAUCUUUUGCCAGUUCUAAAAAUACUAGUGAAUAAGGGGUGGGCAAGUUCUGGUGUCAGCCGCCGCGGUAAAACCAGCACCUCAAGUGGUCAGGAGGAUUAUUGGGCCUAAAGCAUCCGUAGCCUGCUCUGUAAGUUUUCGGUUAAAUCUAUAUGCUCAACGUAUAGGCUGCCGAAAAUACUGCAGUGCUAGGAAGUGGGAGAGGUAGACGGUACUUGAUAGGAAGGGGUAAAAUCCUUUGAUCUAUCGAUGACCACCUGUGGCGAAGGCGGUCUACCAGAACACGUUCGACGGUGAGGGAUGAAAGCUGGGGGAGCAAACCGGAUUAGAUACCCGGGUAGUCCCAGCUGUAAACGAUGCAGACUCGAUGAUGCAUUGGCAUAUAGCCAGUGCAGUGUCGCAGGGAAGCCGUUAAGUCUGCCGCCUGGGAAGUACGUACGCAAGUAUGAAACUUAAAGGAAUUGGCGGGGGAGCACCACAAGGGGUGAAGCCUGCGGUUCAAUUGGAGUCAACGCCGGAA
rnacentral:rRNA from 1 species